rnacentral:rRNA from 1 species
AGGAUGAACGCUGGCGGUCUGCUUAACACAUGCAAGUCGAACGGAGUAGCAAUACUUAGUGGCGGACGGGUGAGUAACGCGUGAGAAUCUACCUUCAGGACGGAGACAACAGUUGGAAACGACUGCUAACCCCCGAUGUACCGAAAGGGCAAAUAUUUAUAGCCUGAAGAAGAGCUCGCGUCCGAUUAGCUAGUUGGAGAGGUAAAAGCUCACCAAGGCGACGAUCGGUAGCUGGUCUGAGAGGACGAUCAGCCACACUGGGACUGAGACACGGCCCAGACUCCUACGGGAGGCAGCAGUGGGAAUUUCGCAAUGGGCGAAAGCCUGACGGAGCAAGACCGCGUGGGGGAAGAAGGCUCUUGGGUUGUAAACCCCCUUUUUCUCGUGGGAAGAACACAAUGACGGUACCAGAGGAAUCAGCAUCGGCUAACUCCGUGCCAGCAGCCGC